UCAUAACACACUGGUAUAUAAACAGAUCAGGCCGCACCAAUAAGCAUUUUAGUAUCGACAACGUUUCAGAUUUUUCAGAUUUUUUCAGUUUUUACUGAUCUUUCAGUUUCAGUAAGCUGGAUGUCUUCCAGACAAGAUAUCUACGAAGAAUUUUGCGAAUCUUCUGGCCUCAGGCUGUCUCCAAUGCAGAAUUGUACAGGAGGACAGACACCGUACCGUAGGAAAUAAAGCGAAGAAGAUGGCGGUGGAUUGGGCACGUCUGCAGGAUGCACCCGGAUCCAUCACAAGGGUAGAGAUGAGAUGGACACCAUCAGGCAAGAGGAAGAGAGUAAGACCCAAGAAAACCUGGAGGCGGUCGGUCGAGAAGGAAAUGAAGGAAGCAGGAUAUACGUGGGGACAAGUCCAACGACGGUUCAAAGACAGACAGCGCUGGAACUCUCUGGUGAUGGCCUUAUGUGCGACGCCGCAGGAAGAGGAUUAAGUAAAAUGGAUGGCCUAAUCGAUUCGCACUAAAUAAAGAAACAUUUUUUUCUCGAGUCGACGACUGUGCAUCGGGUUGUCGACUCGGGAUUCAGUUUUAGAACUGAGUUCAACACGAUGCUGGAUGUAAGAUGGUUGAAAUAAACGUCCCGAAGAAAAAACUAAAUGAUGUCAUCUGAAGUGGAAUUACAUCAAUUUUUUUCAAGAGUGGCAAUGCUCUAUUCUAAAAUUCUCUAUAUGCAGUUACUGGAAGUUUUGAUUUCAGUUCAUGGAAUUCCGAAAUCUUUAUUCGCAGUUAACGUUUGGGUUUGACAUUAAGGGAAACAUUUCCGAACAUGCAAAAACGACCGAUAAAAAAUGAAUAAAAAGUCAAAAACAUUCAAUCAGUUAAUUAGACUGGUUACUUAUAACAUUUGGUUUCAACUUUUAACUUCAGAAAUAAUGCAGAAAAAGAUCUAGAGUCAUUGGAACGUAGGAGAAAGACGGUAAACGUGAGGGAUAAUGUCAGUAUUGUUCAUAAUAACUAGAAACUAAUAUUCUGACGAUUAGAACACUGGAAAACAACACCGGGGGCCAUUAAGGACAAAACGCAUGCAGUCGUUAUCAAUUUCGUCACACUGGAACAAUAAUAACAGUCUACUUUCGGACUUUUGGUUUUUGUAUUAUCGAUGUACUGUUAUUAAUAAACAUGUAGAAAUAUCAGGGAAAAAUUGGUAUUUGGAAAAAAAAUGAAUAAUAAAUAUAUCUCGA